GCAAGUCGAACGGAAACGAUGGAAGCUUGCUUCCAGGCGUCGAGUGGCGGACGGGUGAGUAAUACUUAGGAAUCUGCCCAGUAGUGGGGGACAACACGGGGAAACUCGUGCUAAUACCGCAUACGCCUUACGAGGGAAAGUGGGGGAUCUUCGGACCUCACGCUAUUGGAUGAGCCUAAGUCGGAUUAGCUUGUUGGUGGGGUAACGGCCUACCAAGGCGACGAUCCGUAGCUGGUCUGAGAGGACGAUC
rnacentral:rRNA from 1 species